UAAAGCUCAUGUAACCCACACAAGGUUACUGGAGUGCAACUCUCUACUCUACCUGCGGGUGGCGCAUACACCCCGGGAGUUCACUUAACAACACGUUUUUUCCGGUAAAGACGUUGCUAAACGCAAACAAGGACUGGAUAAAAGCUGUGAGAGAGAGUUAAGCCGCAUGGCAGCGAGCUUCUCAAGAUACCUCCGAUUGUUUUUUUUUUAGAAAGGGAUAGACCAUCUGAAUCUGACCCUAGCAGUCAGUGGCGAGCCAACCGCAGAAGCGAACGGAUCAAGAGCCCGGUGUGGCCAGCUGUGGCAUCUUUGGAACCAGCAUCAUCCUGUACCUUCAAUUGUGAUACAGAUAAGAACACACGUAAACCUACCCGGGUAGUGAAAAGAACAUACUCUAAGAAACACACACACACACAUCAAGGACUUCCAUGGACUCUCUUCUUUAUUUGAGUUUUAUUUUGAUUUUAUUGUGCGCUGUGCACUCAGGAAGCCGGUUUAGGUAGGCAGGGACUGUAAAGAACUGUCAUUCAUUUGGUAUAAUAAUGUUUAAAUUUAUCUGUUUUGUGUUGUCUGUUCUCUGAUGACCAUUCACUAUUUCAGGCUCCAUGGUCGUGUCUAGAGCUUCUGAUACUAGCCCAGCUUUAAUUUGUUAAUACUUAAAUUAGGUAUUAGUUACAUUAACCUAAGAAAAAGGUUACACUCAGCACAUAUUAUACAGAAUCGUCACGGAGCUGUGUUCAGAAAUGGCUCAACUAUACAACUUACUGUACAUAGUGAGAUACAAACGUUGACAAAAUUGUUGGUACACUUCGGUCAAUGAAAGAAAAACUCAA